ensembl:lncRNA
AUGCAGGGCUUUCAGAGACCAGCCGAUGCUGAGGGGUCCGUGACUUGCCGGCAGAGCCUGCUCCUUCGGUUGUGUUUGUCUGAGCCAUGCUUUUCUCGCUUUUUGGGGAGGCAGAGAGCCCUGGGCAGAGGUUGCACUUGGCAUAUUUCAGCUCCGUUGUCACUGCUGUGGCUGUUACUCCCCUCGGCGAGAGCCAAGGAGCAACCAGGACGCGAAGAUGCUGGUGUUCCCCAUCCUGCUGUUCUCACUUCUCCAGGACCGAGGCCCCGUGGAGGGAACCAAGAUCCUAGACCAUCCCUUAGACAUGAACUGGUUCAUACCUUGCCAGCUGCAUCUCCCUUGCUUCUUCCAGGACAGAGUGGGUUGAAAGAGCCAGCAGGAACUGAAAAGCAUUGUAAACUAAGGAGGAAAAGUAACAAAGAGCUUGAAGACUUUCAUGGAGCCCAGGCCCUGGACGGAGGCAGGCGACAUCAGAGAACCAAGAAAGCUGAGGGGCAGCCAGGAGGCACCUGUGGCUGCAGAGCCCAGGUAGGUACUGGGAAGAGGAAGAUGGACAGGCCGGGGGGCAGAGAGGCACAGAGCCCCUGA